CUUAAUUCCAUCAUUAAUACGACACAUCUUCUUUGAGAAAAUUAAAAUUUCCAUGACAAUUUGAUGGAAACAAAAUCUUCACUUUCGAUGACAAUUUGAUCAUUAAUUUUAAAAUUUCAUUUUUCAAAACCCAUCAAUGGAUCAUGGAUAUAUGAAGUCCAAAACUUCUCUUUUUUCUCUCUUAAAUUCAUCACCAUCUUCUUCCUUUUCUUCUUCUUGCACCGCUGAAAAUGCUACUAACUCCUUAACUCCGGUUCGAACCGGGUCCAAGUUUUCACAUGAAGCUAGACAAUGUCGCCACGUGGCAGAAAAUGAAGCAAUUCAAAACAUGGGAAUGGGAUUCAUCAAUGACAUUGUUGGUCACGGUGAAAUAAUGAAGUGGAAGGAUGUUGAGAAGCGGUUCGACCAAGUGGCUUGGACCGGUAAUGAUCCUGAACCGGUUGUAACAUGGUCCGAAUUUGGCUUUUGCAUUGGGAUAGGGAUGCAAUCAUCACCGGAGUUGGCAAGAGAAUUGCUAAGAGCAUUAAGGGGUUGCAAGGAAUGGAAAUCAGAUAUCACAAAAACUGAACUUCACAAUUUUUGGUCUCGGAUGAAUGAUGAUUCUUUUAACUCGAGAAUGCGAAUGUUCUUUGAUAUGUGUAAUAGAAACAUGGAUGGAAGAAUUACCGAGACAGAUAUAAAGCAGACAAUUUUAUUAACCGCUUCGAUAAAUAAGCUAUCGGUGACACGUGAUGAAGCAGAGGAUUAUGCCGCUUUGAUAAUGGAAUCUGUGGACAACAAAAAUAAAGGCUACAUUGAGAUAUCUGAAAUGGAGGUUCUAUUCAAGACAAGUCUAUCAAAGGCGAAUUCUCCAAUGAAACAAGGGAGCACACAGAAGCAGAGUGAGGAAUGUGAAGAAGAAGAAGAACCAAUGACAAAAGCGGAAGUGUUGUUUAGAACCUAUUGGCGACGUGGUUGGGUUGUUGUGGUUUGGUUGGUUGGUUGUUUUGGUUUGUUUGGUUGGAAAUUUGAUCAGUACCGUAAGAGAUCAGGGUUUGAAGUAAUGGGUUAUUGUCUUCCCACAGCUAAAGGUGCAGCUGAAACAUUGAAACUUAAUAUGGCUCUUAUUCUUCUUCCUGUUUGUAGAAAUACAAUUACUUGGCUCCGCAAGGAUCCUCGUCUUAACUAUGUCAUUCCUUUUAAUGACAAUAUUAACUUUCAUAAGCUUAUUGCUGGAGGAAUAGUGGUGGGUGUAAUAUUACAUGGAGGGACACACCUUACCUGUGAUUUUCCAAGAAUAAGUGAUUCAGACAAAUCAAUUUUCCGGCAAACUAUCGCAGCAGGAUUUGGCUACCAUCAACCAACUUACAUGGAAAUUUUGGCCACAACAGAGGUAGCAAGUGGAAUUGGCAUGGUCAUUUUAAUGGCCAUUGCAUUUUCACUAGCAACAAAGUGGCCAAGGCGUCGAUCGCCUGUGCUUCCCUUGUCCCUCAGAAGGGUCACUGGUUACAACACCUUUUGGUAUUCUCACCAUUUGUUUGUCUUUGUGUAUGUUUUGCUCAUUGUUCACUCCAUGUUCUUGUUCCUCACCGACAAGUGGAUCGAGAAAACAACAUGGAUGUACAUUGCAUUUCCAGUUUUAUUGUAUGCUGGCGAGAGGAUCUUUCGCGCCAUUAGAUCAGGAUCUUAUCAAGUUGAUGUUAUGAAGGCAAGUCUCUAUCCAGGAAAAGUUCUGUACCUCAAAAUACAAAAACCAGAAGGUUUUAAGUACAGAAGUGGCAUGUAUAUAUUCAUUCAGUGCCCCCAAAUUUCUACCUUUCAAUGGCAUCCAUUUUCCUUGACAUCAGGACCACAAGAUGAGUACCUCAGUGUGCACAUUAGAACUCUUGGUGACUGGAGCUACCAAAUAUAUGAUCUAUUCCAAGAGGCAGUGUUGUCUGGAUUACAAGGGUGUCCAAAACUGUACAUAGAUGGCCCUUAUGGUUCUUCUUGUCAAGACCAUGUAAAGUAUGACAUUCUGGUACUUAUUGGCCUUGGCAUAGGAGCAACACCUUUCAUUAGCAUCCUCAAAGAUAUUGCUAAUGGUGUCCACACAUCACAAAGUGAUAAUAGAAUGCAACUUAAGAAAGGGUCCAUCAAAAGCCUAUUUAUAUUGGGUUACAAGAGAACAAAACUCCUUUGAUUGGUUUAGAGACGUAAUGAAAGAAAUAGCUAAUUCAACCAAACAGCAGUCUGUUGUAGAGAUGCAUAAUUUCCUGACCAGUGUAUAUCCUGAGGGAGAUGUUCGUUCGGCUUUGCUAAGUGUCAUUCAGGCCUUACAUCAGGCCAAGAAUGGCGUAGACAUAGUUUCCAGGACUCCUAUACACACACAUUUUUCUCGACCAAAUUGGUUCAACAUAUUUUCCAGAUUGACUCGCAAGCAUGUAGGAGCAAAGAUCGGAGUUUUUUAUUGUGGACCAUCUAACUUAGCAACAGAAUUGAAGAAUUUGUGCACCAAAUUUUCCACAAAAACUACAACUAGAUUUGUUUUCCACAAGGAAAAUUAUUAAACUAGCUUCUGAAGGAAUGACAACUGUUGUAACAAUUCCUUAAUUAGGAAACCGUAGUUACCUUCAGAAUCUUGAGCAAUUUCCUUCUGUUUGGCCACAGAAUCUGUAAAUAUAUAUAUGCGCCGUUCAGCAACCGAAAAAUGAAAGAAUAUACAACUAUACAGCAAUAAUAGUCCUUUUUCAUUGAUCGUUGUAACUUGUAAUUUUGGGUGUUCAUGCAUUCUAGUUUGGUAUUUCACGUACACCUGAGGCUGCAAAUCAAACUUUCAAAAUAAAUACUAUAAACAAUGAAUAUCUAGAAAUGUAUAAUCCAUUAUUCCUUUGAA